rnacentral:lncRNA from 1 species
GUAUGGUCAGGCGGGAUCAUCUGCCAGCUGGAGGUCUCAGGACUGUGGAAAACCAUGUAUUCUAGCAGUAUAUUCUCUGGCCCAGCCGACCAUUACUAUCUUCAUAACGCUUAUGAAACUGUGCCUUCUCUAAGGCCAUUCACAGCUCUCGACUGGGCUAUCCUUCUUUGCCCUCUGUGCAUAAUUUCAUGCUUAUUUGAUCUCCCCAACCUCUGCACUGACCUGGCUUCUUGUGUUAUAUCCUAAACAACUUGUUCUUGGUUUCAUCCACUCAGUUCUCUGGAUCAGCCAGCUUCACACAGAAGUGACAGCACUUCUGAAAUCCCCUCUUAGUCACUUUUGUAACUUCAACCUCUGCUAAAGGUAGACACUCACUCUAUAGACCAGGCCUUGAGCUCAAAGAUCCACCUGCCUCUGCCCCCUGGCCCCCUCCACCUCCCCACGAGUGCUGGGACUAAAGGUGUGAACCACCACCACCACCACCACCACCACCCAGCUCCCUUGUUUUCUUAACAUUGAUCUAUUUAUAACUAGAGUGAGCAAAGCAGUGGUGGUGCACAACUUUAAUCCCACCACUCAGGAGGCAGAGGCAGGUGGAGCUCUGUGAUUUCGAGGCCAGCCUGGUCUACAAUAUGAGUUCCAGGACAGCCAGGGAUACACAGAGAAACCCUGCCUCAAAAAGAAAAUCAAAUAAACCCCCACAGAGUUACACCUUAUCCACUGCCCAAUGUCCUGCCAUUGGUUCCCAGACCAGAGCCUAGAGCCUGAAAUGGUCAUAUGCUCAGGCCCCAUUGCAAAGGACAGUGGGAAGGCACCUGCUUGUCUAACCUCUGGGGUGGCAAAGCUCGGGAGGGACUCCUCCUUAGGCAGCAGAGAUGCUCACUGGUGUGGGCUGUGCACACUCUGGUUUUCUUUCCUCUAAACUUGUGGGCCCCCAGGUUCAAGCUUUUAAUUUUCAGGUUUGCAUAUCUAUAAGUGCCUCCGUGUAUCUAUGUGGACCACAUGUAUGCCUGGUGCCUGUGGAAAUGAGAAGAAAGCAUUGAAUCCCCUCAAAAAGUGUUCUUAACCCCUUAGCCAUCUCUCCAGCCCCAGGUUCAAAUCCUGAGCACCGUCUGAACUAGUCCUGUGUCCAAGACAGUAUCAUCAAACCCUGCCCUUCCCGCCUUGUGCCAGCUCGCGCUUUUUCUUACAUCUGUAUGUUGAUGCUUAGCAGGUUCCUUGAAUGCUUGGUUUAUGUGCCUGGCUGGAGGAGACACCCAUGGCCUUGCAGAGGGAGCGUUCUGGUGGGAAAGCAGACACAACCCACCCUAGGCCCGUGGUUUCCCUGCAAGAAGCCCAGUGGCUUUCUGGAGGACACUUUUCCUGGAGGAAGUGACUCAAGCAUAAGCCAGGCUCUAUGGAAUGUUGGGUGAGCUGCUUGAGGAACUCCAAGGCCUGUCCCACAGUCUUCCAGCCUCCGACUCUCCGGCCCUCAGCGAGGAAGUCCCACUGGUUUUUUUGGUUGGUUUUUUUUUUUUUUUUUAAGGUUUUUUGGUUUUUUUUUUUUUUUCUCAUUCCUGUCUUGGGAGCUUUCCCCAACCAGGAGAGUGAAGAUGGGCGGAGCUGUCACACCAACUGUUAGCCUGCCUUGGCUGAGAGGAGAGGAGGCGAGGAGGGAGCGACCACCCAGCUUUAGUCGUUUUAAAACAGCUCCUGACCCUAGAAGAAGGGAAAUGGAGAUGAAGACCCAAUUGACUUGGCUUCCCUCCCUCCCAGUGCUGAUUUCCUGUGGACCAGAUUCCAGCACAGUGGAGGGCCAGAGCUCAGGGAACAGACCCAGCAGCACAGCAAGUCUCCAAGGAAAGCUCUAGCAGUCUCCAGGGGCUGAAGGCAGGACUGGGGAAGCGGCUAGCCAGGCUGCAGAAGGCAAAUGCUCCCAGACGGCUGUCCAGCACGCAUCCGCCUUCCUAGCCAAGUUUCCUGGGCUCCUGCCACAGAUCUAAGCCUCAUCCUGACAUCCUGCCCUCUGUGCUCUGGGAUGGCCCAGGGGAGAUGCUUAGCCUUGGCUCCUUGUCUGCUGGUGGAGGGGACACACACCCUUUCUGGACCACAGACCAAAAAGAAGACCUGACGUCAUCCUGAGCACCCCCGCCAUGCAGAGUGUGUUCGCAGACUGCCAACGGGCUGGCUCCGGCCAGCAGAAGUGAACAGAGGUGGAGGUUCAGCCUGACAGCUUCUCCCCAAAGCCAUGGAGAGAAAACCUUACCACCCCCACCGCCCAGCUACUUCCAGCAAGUUGUCCAGCCUGACCCCUCUAUUUCCCCUGUUGUCUCUUAUCUGGGUCCCUGAGACCCACCCCAUCUCCAAUAAAGAACAUUGCAUACUGUGCAUCCACUACUGAACAACAUAGUCACACCAGGCAGGGCUCCCUAAAGCCUACCUGCAUGGCCAGCGUGGUCCGAGGACAGUGUGCUCUCCCCACCCUGUCUGCUAGCCUCCAGCUUCAUGGGAACUCCAUUAAUCAUGGGAUUCCGAGAUCAUCAGAGCAAUAGGAUCACUCCGUCUCCAGGGGAGCACAAGGCAAGAGCCAGAGCGGGACUGUUCUUCAGUCAAGGGGCAGGGGUUGCUGCCUCU